UAUAUGAUUAAUAAAUAUAUGAUAAGGGAUACUAAAAGUAGAAUAUGUGACAAAAUUAUGGAGCUAUUAUAGGAAUUAGUAUAUUGACUUAUAUUUUUAAUUCAUGAGAAUUAAAAAUAUAUAAAAAAUCCAUCUAAGAUAUAUCAAGGGUAUUUGUGGUAUUAUGUAGUCAGUGAUCUUGGAUCCCCGUACCAUACCAAACAAGUUACUCAUGGAUAUCCGGAAAUUUU
rnacentral:lncRNA from 1 species